rnacentral:tRNA from 1 species
GCCUUCGUGGUGUAGUGGUCAGCACGUUCGGCGCGUCGAGAGGUCGGUGGUUCGAGUCCCGGCAAGGGCA